GACAGCAUGUCCGAGUGGUUAAGGAGUAAGACUUGAAAUCUUAUGGGCUCUGCCCGCGCAGGUUCGAACCCUGCUGCUGUCG